rnacentral:rRNA from 1 species
CCCUUAGAUGUUCUGGGCUGCACACGUGCUCCACUGGCAGGUUCAGCGAGCUUCAUGCCCUGAUCUGAAAGGAAUGGGAAAUCUUUUCAAAACCUGCCGUGCUUGGGAUAGAUGUUUGCAAUUAUUCAUCUUCAACGAGGAUUGCCUUGUAAGCGCACGUCAUCAGCGUGCAUUGAAUACGACCCUGUAUUCUGUACACACCGCCCGUCGCUCCUACCGAUUGAAGUUUUCGGUGAGUUGACAGGAGGAUUUUUUUGAAACUGGUUCGCCAGUGGAUUUUAGAUCCAAAUGCCAACGAAUCGAUGGCUUUAGAGGAAGGAGAAGUCGUAACA